UGGUGGAGCGAUUUGUCUGGUCAAUUCCGACAACGAACGAGACUCUAGCCUACUAAAUAGUUCGGGGACCCCCACAAAGGGGCCCCGCUUCAACUUCUUAGAGGGACAGGUGGCGUUUAGCCACACGAGAUUGAGCAAUAACA
rnacentral:rRNA from 1 species